rnacentral:miRNA from 1 species
UCACUAAGUUAUAGACCGCUGA